rnacentral:ncRNA from 2 species
AUUGAAAGCUAGGGGAGCUAUUUGGCUGAGAGGAAUAAAACCGACCCUUUGAACCUGAUAUGGAUAAUACCAGCGCAGGGAAGCAGUAGACUGUCUUA